CCUACGGGUGGCUGCAGUGGGGAAUAUUGGACAAUGGGCGAAAGCCUGAUCCAGCCAUGCCGCGUGUGUGAAGAAGGCCUUCGGGUUGUAAAGCACUUUCAGUGGGGAAGAAAGCCUUGGGGCUAAUACCCUCGAGGAAGGACAUCACCCACAGAAGAAGCACCGGCUAACUCCGUGCCCGCAGCCGCGGUAAUACGGAGGGUGCGAGCGUUAAUCGGAAUUACUGGGCGUAAAGCGCGCGUAGGCGGUCUGAUAAGCCGGUUGUGAAAGCCCCGGGCUCAACCUGGGAACGGCAUCCGGAACUGUCAGGCUAGAGUGCAGGAGAGGAGGGUAGAAUUCCCGGUGUAGCGGUGAAAUGCGUAGAGAUCGGGAGGAAUACCAGUGGCGAAGGCGGCCUUCUGGACUGACACUGACGCUGAGGUGCGAAAGCGUGGGUAGCAAACAGGAUUAGAUACCCGGGUAGUC
rnacentral:rRNA from 1 species